rfam:Treponema succinifaciens DSM 2489, complete genome.
GCCGGUGUAGCUCAGCUGGUAGAGCGGAGGACUGAAAAUCCUUAUGUCGUCAGUUCGAUUCUGACCGCUGGCA